UACGUAGGGUGCGAGCGUUGUCCGGAAUUACUGGGCGUAAAGGGCUCGUAGGCGGCCAACUAAGUCAGACGUGAAAUCCCUCAGCUUAACUGGGGAACUGCGUCUGAUACUGGAUGGCUUGGAUUCGGGAGAGGAAUGCGGAAUUCCGUGGUGUAGCGGUGAAAUGCGCAGAUAUCAGGAGGAACACCGGUGGCGAAGGCGGGUCUCUGGGCCGAUACUGACGCUGAGGAGCGAAAGCGUGGGGAGCGAACAGG
rnacentral:rRNA from 1 species